GGGGGUUCCUUCCUUGGAGUGUUUCUAGAGCUCGGAGGCUGCUGGUAGGGGGGCACCACUUUCAGAUAAAAACAUAGACCUGAAUGGCAUCAUCCAGUAUCCAAGGAAACCAUUGUGUCUGUAACCAGCUAAUGAGCUGCAACAGAGCCUGGCCUUCAUUUUCAGCAAAUUAAGUUCAUCCCUCAUAGGAAUUGUGGUCUGGCUGUGGCACCGCUCCUAGGUGAACAACAAAGAAGACUUGGAAACUCAGUGAUCAGGGAUUGGAAAUGAUGGUGAUGGUAAGUGGAAUAUCAUUGAUGCUGAACAUUCAAACCUCACUGAUGUCAGAAAAGACAUGACAAACUCCAAAAGGAAACCCAAGCAGCUAUUUGGCUCCCUUAAUUAAUGAAGUCGCCCAGUAUGGAUAAUUCAGGUUCUCUAAACAUGAAUAUGCCUUUGGGGGAAGACAGAAGAACAUGGAAGCCAUGUGAAAAAAACGGAUCCUAAGCAAAGGCCUCUCUCCUACGGUCCUUCAGUGAGCAAAACUUCUCCUGACUUCAUGAGAAGUGGAAGAACUCAGAGUAGCUCACAUGGCCUCAGAACACUCGCUUAAGAAUGCAUUUCUUCUCAUUGCCCUUAAAUAGAGCUGCUUCCUGCUCAAGAGGCAGAAAUCUGCUGGCCCAUGCUGUUGUGGCCUGGCCUUGCCCUGUUAGUGGUGAUCUGUGGGAAGAGAAGGAGACAAAUUGUGACACUGUCCCUUAUCAAAGGACCACACAGUUGUUCGCCACGUUGACUCCAUGAUGGAUAGUUAUCUUGAGGCUUGAUGGACAUAAGGCUAAAAGUUCAGAGAAAAAGAGUGCAGGAUCCCAGUAGCUCCUUGCUAUUGACACUUACUUGAUAAUGUGAAGAGAUUUUAAGUGUAAGAGCACUGUUCAUUGUGUACAAAUACAAAGCAUUCUUAUUGUUGGGCAUUAUCAGUACACAUACACUACACUGUGUAGAUAAUUUUAGUCAUAAUGAAUAUAGCAUUUCAUUUAUUAGAUUGAGAGGUUUUUUCAACUAAAAAUAGAGUCUCUUUGUCUUCGCCUUAAGCACAUCCAAGCUCAGUAGCACACAUUGUAAUCAAGCUCAGUGUUGUAAAGAAUGAAAAAUAUUGAAAGGUGAAUGUAACUGCUAAUAUUUCAUGCAACACUUGCCCUUUGUAAUAGCACUUGGCCACCCACAUCA
rnacentral:lncRNA from 1 species